GAUGAACGCUGGCGGCGUGCCUAACACAUGCAAGUCGAACGGAGUUUUUAGAGGAAGCCUUUCGGGGUGGAACCUUUGAACUUAGUGGCGGACGGGUGAGUAACGCGUGAGCAAUCUGCCUUCAAGAGGGGGACAACAGCUGGAAACGGCUGCUAAUACCGCAUAACAUAUAUUUGUGGCAUCACAGAUAUAUCACAGGAGAAAUCCGCUUGAAGAUGAGCUCGCGUCCCAUUAGCUAGUUGGCGGGGUAGAGGCCCACCAAGGCGACGAUGGGUAGCCGUACUGAGAGGUUGAGCGGCCACGUUGAGACUGAGACACGGCCCAGACUCCUACGAGAGGCAGCAGUGAGGAAUAUUGGUCAAUGGGCGAGAGCCUGAACCAGCCAAGUCGCGUGAAGGAUGACUGCCCUAUGGGUUGUAAACUUCUUUUAUAGGGGAAUAAAAAGUGGGACGUGUCCUAUAUUGUAUGUACCCUAUGAAUAAGCACCGGCUAACUCCGUGCCAGCCGCCGCGGUAAUAC
rnacentral:rRNA from 1 species